rnacentral:miRNA from 1 species
CUUUGCCCUAAACAGUAAGAGUUUAUGUGCUGUUGUUCACUGAUCAGCACAUGAGCUUUUACAGUGCAGGG